rnacentral:lncRNA from 1 species
GUAGAAGGUUAAUUAUUGUUUGAUUCUCUUCUCGUGGACUUCGUUCUGAAGAUGGAGUCUCUUUUUGAUGCCUACGUUGUGAUGUUGCUCUGAUCCUUUGAAGUAAAGAUUCACCCACAACAUAUGACUCAAUGACAGAUGAAAGAAAGGGCAUCCCCACAGGAAGAGAGACCUAUCUAGAGUUAGCCUUUGCCUGAUCAGACGCGCUGCCAAUCCUGGCCACUCCUGGUCAGCUAAGUCCCAUUUCUACCUCGGCCACAUUGGAAUGGAGCUCUGCAGGCAGACUCCUUGAAGAUGCUUGGGGAUGGCUUGUGUUCUCAUCUCUCCUCAACAUUCCCACUCUGCCUGUAGUUCUUGCAGUAGGCUGCCAAGUUGGUCCACCUGGGUCUUGGAACUGAGAUAUCACAUUUCCCACGUCUCAUGCCUUCCCUCCACCGGCCCUGCAUUAUUGAUGAUGACUCUGAGCCUCCCCAGCCUUCAUUUCCACAGAGGGUCAGGCUUCUCUCAUACCUAUUUGGUCUGAAGAAUCAGAGCAUUUUUCAAGACACCAGCCCGGGACAGUUUCUUAAACCAACUAUGAGACUACAAAUGGUUUUGCUUUUGCCUUAAUAGAAGACAGUGGAAUGUCCGUUCUUGUGUAUUUAAAAAAAAAUAAAGGAGAGAUUCCCCAGAGUGCUCUGUGUUAU